rnacentral:rRNA from 1 species
AACGAACGCUGGCGGCAUGCCUAACACAUGCAAGUCGAACGAGACCUUCGGGUCUAGUGGCGCACGGGUGCGUAACGCGUGGGAACCUGCCCUUAGGUUGGGAAUAACUCCCCGAAAGGGGUGCUAAUACCGGAUAAUGUCUUCGGACCAAAGAUUUAUCGCCUUUGGAUGGGCCCGCGUUGGAUUAGCUAGUUGGUAGGGUAAAAGCCUACCAAGGCGACGAUCCAUAGCUGGUCUGAGAGGAUGAUCAGCCACACUGGGACUGAGACACGGCCCAGACUCCUACGGGAGGCAGCAGUGGGGAAUAUUGGACAAUGGGCGAAAGCCUGAUCCAGCAAUGCCGCGUGAGUGAUGAAGGCCUUAGGGUUGUAAAGCUCUUUUACCCGGGAUGAUAAUGACAGUACCGUGAGAAUAAGCUCCGGCUAACUCCGUG